rnacentral:rRNA from 1 species
UACGUAGGGUGCGAGCGUUAAUCGGAAUUACUGGGCGUAAAGUGUGCGCAGGCGGCUUCGCAAGUCGAGUGUGAAAUCCCCGAGCUUAACUUGGGAAUUGCGCUCGAAACUACGGAGCUGGAGUGUGGCAGAGGAAGGUGGAAUUCCACGUGUAGCGGUGAAAUGCGUAGAGAUGUGGAGGAACACCGAUGGCGAAGGCAGGUCUCUGGGCUGACACUGACGCUCAUGCACGAAAGCGUGGGGAGCAAACGAGGAUUAGAA